CGCAGGCGCCACAUCACCUGUCUCCGUGGGUUCACUAUUUAGCGGUCGUGGGGCUUUUUUGGCCCCGGCAAAGAAAGCGGAACCGGCGACAGCGGGAGGAAAACAACGUAGCAAGCUGCGUUAAACUGCACCAUACAAUGAAGGUCAUUCUCCCAUGAAAAAAACCCACCCAACAUUCUCCACUGGAGAUCCUCUUGGGUCAUAUAUUCUACUCCAGUUGUGAAGAAGGGUCACUGGACGAUAAAUCUAUUUCCACUCCACAGAUACUGCCAGGCAUUCUUGUGCUUUCCCAGCAAUUUCUUAUUUCGUCUGACAAUGUCUGCUUCGUCCAGAGAGAAGAUGUGGUCUCCGUUGCAGGAGAUGAGUCACCCCCGCUCCCGCCCAUCCAGUCCCCGGGGGGGGGGGGUCUCCUGCCCUGACGACCCGGGCCCUCUCACUGCCCUCCCCACUUUCACCCCUUCGCCUCCAUAACCCCUGGCAACGCGGCGCCUCAC